AUGGAAAAAAUGGUGGAACCGCCACCUUCUGAAGGUGGCGAGGCAACUAUAACCACAAUGUCAGCUCUUGCUGUAGUGGGUCAGUACUUGUCCACUAACAGUGCCAAAAGUACGUUCCUGCAUAAUACUGGGUUGGUUGUUAAGGCAAUAUCAUCCAAACUGCCUCAUGAUCAAGAUAUGCAAGCUCAAAGCAAUGUUGUAUCUGCGCUCCAGACACAAGUCCAUUCCCUAACAGAGACCCUCUGUGAAACAAGGAGAAACAUUGCUCAAUGUCGUCAAGAUAUGCAUGGUUUUGAAACCAGACUAUCAGACAUUUGCUAUGUUGUUCAGGAGCCUAGGGGAAAUGAAGGCGAGGGUUAUGGUGCUCCAUCAGACAAUACAGCAUGA
rnacentral:rRNA from 1 species